CAGCCGCCACGGGAAUACGUAGGGUGCAAGCGUUAAUCGGAAUUACUGGGCGUAAAGCGUGCGCAGGCGGUUAUAUAAGACAGAUGUGAAAUCCCCGGGCUCAACCUGGGAACUGCAUUUGUGACUGUAUAGCUAGAGUACGGCAGAGGGGGAUGGAAUUCCGCGUGUAGCAGUGAAAUGCGUAGAUAUGCGGAGGAACACCGAUGGCGAAGGCAAUCCCCUGGGCCUGUACUGACGCUCAUGCACGAAAGCGUGGGGAGCAAACAGGAUUAGAUACCCGCGUAGUCCCUGUCACUUAUAA
rnacentral:rRNA from 1 species